rnacentral:rRNA from 1 species
GAUGAACGCUGGCGGCGUGCCUAAUACAUGCAAGUCGAGCGAACGGACGAGAAGCUUGCUUCUCUGAUGUUAGCGGCGGACGGGUGAGUAACACGUGGAUAACCUCCCUAUAAGACUGGGAUAACUUCGGGAAACCGGAGCUAAUACCGGAUAAUAUUUUGAACCGCGUGGUUCAAUAGUGAAUGACGGUCUUGCUGUCACUUAUAGAUGGAUCCGCGCUGCAUUAGCGGGUUGGUAAGGUAACGGCUUACCAAGGCAACGUUGCAUAGCCGACCUGAGAGGGGGAGCGGCCACGCGGGGGUGGACACACGGUCCAGAACCCAGCGGCAGGCCGGAGUAGUGAGUCUGCCGGAAGGGGCGAAAGCCUGACGGAGCAACGCAGCGUGAGUGAGGAAGGCCCCCUGCUCGUAAACCGCUUUUAUGUGGGAAGAAGAUUUGUGUAAGUACCAGGCACAUCUUGACGGUACCGAAACAGAAAGCCACGGCUAACUACGGG